GAAAAAAUAGCAUGUAAGAGGAUAGUAUAUUUUAAAUAAUAUAUUGAAAAGAGUAAAACUGAGUGAAGAAUAAAAUAAACCCUAUGGUGUAUGUCACUUCCAAGGCAUUUUCUCCUACUUUGAAGGUCUUUAAAACAGCAAAAUAAAAACAGACCUCUAACAUUGCCUCAUCAAGGUUGAGAGGGCCACUUGACGGGGAAAGGUUUUAAGCUCUGCUAUUUAUCUAUUUUUAAUUGGUGAAGAGAUUCAAGCCAAUUUUCAAUAUUAUUUACUGUUAAUUGCAUUAGAAAUUUAUGGCAUUGGCUCUAGCAAAUCUCUUCAGUGGUUAUAUAAAAAAAAGUAAAAAAAAUCAGAAUUUCAGCCACAAGAACAACCUUGCAAACCAUGUCCAUACAUGGUAGUCAGUAUCGUGCGUAUCGCACGAAGAUGCAAGUAGACAUUUCUCUUAGUUUAGUGUAACAUCAAGCUGUUUCUAAUUUUUAAUAUCAAAAGAAACAUGUUCCCUUUCUCACUGUUUAUGCUCUAACAAUUUUCACUAUGUAUACCUUCAUUCCAAUAAUGAAGAACAAUUCGGGCAGCAGCUUCAGUGUCAACUAUUCCACCCUUCUUGAGCUUGCCCCUAACUGUAGAAACCUUCUGUAGGAAGUCAUCAACAGAAUCAAAACUUGGAAUCUUAUAAAGAAGUACCAGCAGCUUGGACGGACAAAGCUUGAAAAACUCCUUCACUGCAUCGUCCAUGAAGGACAGAAUUAGAUUUACCAAUAUAGCUUGGAAGUCAGGAUUUCAACAUUAAGGUUCUCAUAAAUACAAAAAAGUGUUAAGGUGCCAACUUCAAAGCACUUGAGAGUAGACUUCCACAACUUCAAUAGAGAGAACUUCAAUUUAUAUCUAUAAACAGAAUGGAGGGAUGUAUCGAAGAUAAGAGAUCCACCAAAACAAAAAAUCAACUACGUACCAAGGGACCAAUGCAACUAGUAAAAACUGCCAUGAGGAAAACAUUAAAGAGAAGCAACUAACAUAAACUUAUCCUACUACCAAGAUUAAGUUCAAAUGCACCAAAGAAUGACACACACAAACUGCACAUUUUCAUAGAUGUAAAAAGUGUAUUUCUUCCAUGUUGCAAGUUCAUCUGAUUUUUCCUAUUUUAUUUACAUUAAAAUCAAACAAAGCUUUGACCAUCCACUGCAACAUCUUUACUACAAUACACAGAACCUAAAUAAGCAGAGACUAAUUAGUAAUGGGAACAAAUGCCUUAAUACCUGGGCUAAUGGGAUCAUCUAAUUUCUCAAUUCUCUUGCAAUUCUUUAAUGCGAUAGAACUGUCAUUUUCUUGAGACUUUAGCAUAACAACACCAGGGCAAUCCAGCAAUUUAACAUUUUUGUCCAAUUGAACCUCUUGCAUUGAUCGUGUUAACCCGGGAGUAGCACCAACAUUGACAACAUGGCAUCUCUUUAAGCUAUUAAUAAGACUGCUCUUACCAACAUUGGGCAGGCCAAUCAAACCCACAGUGAUUGACUUCUUGAUCUGUCGAGACAAGGAUGCAAAAAUAAAUGAAUUAAAUUUAGAUAGACAACAAAUGGUCUCAAAUCAAAUAAACAAACAUAAAAAUAACAAAACAAUUAACAGAUAAGCACUAAGAGUAUAAGACUAGAAGAGAAGGUGCAAGUAUUAGGGAAAAAGAAUAUAAUUAGUCCAAUGCAAAAUCCCCGAUGGAUAGCAAUAACACUUAAAGGAGGCACACCAUAGCAACCCUUCCAACUUAGAAGAUUUAAAUAUAGUUUAGAACCCAGUAGGUAGAAAAUAAAAAUAUAAUGGAAUACCUGAACCUUAAAGGCAGGAUGAUGAAGAAUCAAACAAAUGGAAGAAUAUUAAAUAACGAAGAUAUAAAUUUAAACCAAUCAAAGGGAAACAUAGAAAAUUAAAGUAAAGCUGAUGAGAUGAAAAGGGCAUCCAUAAUAUAGAAAAUACAGAUGCCAAUAAUAAGACAAAAACAGGUUUCUCUAACAUCAGAUCCCAAGUCCAAACUAGUGUUGACAUCAUCAAUGUGUAUCUUUUUUCUUUGCUUUUUAUGCCAGAAGAGCACAAUACACAUCCACAGAGAUUUCUUUAAACUGAAUUAAGCAUAGAAUAAAAAGAAAAUUGCAUAGGUUCUCCAUUCCUCCUCAAGUAUAUACAGUAAUAUACCAUAUUUUUAUUUUGUAAUUAAUAAAAAAACAGUAAUAUACUAUAUUAAAAGCACAAACUCCUCAAAAGUACUAUACAUCUUUUACUUAGAUUUUAUAUUUUGUUUGAUGCAUUGGAAUACCAUGUCCCCGUGUUUAAGUUUCCUUAUCAGUAGAUGGAAUCCUAAAAAACAUGAGUCAAAUAAACUAGCAUGGCAAAAAAAUGAUACAAGAAACACUAAGAAUAGCAAAGCCUAUUUGACUCCCAUACCCAUAUUGAAUACACAUUACAAAAUGUGUAAGAAACUUGUAUGAAGUGCAUCAAGUUGUAGCAACAGCAAACCUAGCACUCUCAAAAAUCCCAAUCUAUCUCAAGAGAUCCAGAUCCCCUCCCCCCCGACAUACAAAAACUAAGAACGCAGGAAGGCCACAUAAUCUCUACAUAUUUGAGAUGCUAAUUCCAUGGGAGCAACCAUAAGCAGUUCACUACUGAGGUGCCUAAAUCACAUCCUACCUCAUGUAUCAACUCUACAUAAUAAGCACCUCAAGUACAGCACAAACUUUUGACAUUAUAAUUUUACAAGCAGCUAUUACUGCUGAACUACAAUUCAACUACUUCCAAUAAACACUUGCAAACCAUUCUUGAAUAAAAUAGAAAAUUAGAAAUUUAGAUGAAACCGUAUAUAUCAAUGUAGAGAAAGAAGCAUAUACAUAAACAUAAACAAAGACAAUAAAGAGAAAGGGCAGGAAAAGCUUGAGCGUAAGACUCAUGAACUUCCAAUAAACACUCAACAACUUUACAAGAAAAAACACUACUUGGACCAAAAAAAAUCACUGUUCCAUAUUAUAUGUUACCUCAUGACUUCUUGAGUAAUUCUUCAACAAUUUGAGGAGAGUAUCAGCUCCAAGACAAUCACUUAAUUGCAAAAUAUUACUUGGUUUGGCUGCUUUAGAAGACUUCCACCCUAGGUUUGAUCUUUGUUGCUGGGUGCUGCACUUGAAAGCCACAGUAGGUAAUUCUUCUCUAAGGUACUUGAGCCACUUCUCUACAGCUUCUCGUGGGACAAGAUCUAAGAGCACAAUUGAUUAGUCAAUGUAAAUAUAAAAAUAUUACUAAAAGGUGAAAAGUGAGAAAAAAAGGUAAGCAUAGAAGUUACCAAUUUUGUUUAAAAGCAACACAAGAUGAUUAUCAGGUCACAUUUUCAUCACCAUAUUUUCUAUAUCGAUAAAACGAGAACACAACGGAUCUCGGGCAUCAAGGACCUCUAGUAAAACAUCAGAGGCUUCAAUGACCUUUACCAAAUCCUUGUAAAAGGCCCUAUCAGAGGUAUCUAUGGCAAAAGAAUACAAGAACUGCAAUUAGUGGAGGCAAAACAGAUUUGACCUAAACCAAUUUUUUAGCUCAUUAAUAAAAAACACCUCUGGUCUUCCCAACAGUAGCAAAAUCUUUAGUAUCACUAACAACCACUUUGGAACUAUCAUCGUCCUCUUGCAAACCCAAUUUCCUUUUUCGAGCCUGAAACAAGAGUUAGGCAUAGUUAAGUUUCAGAAAUAUAAGAAAAAUGGCACUACAACUGCAUACAAGACGAAAAAGAAAUUCUAAAUUUUGAAAAUGCCAUUGAUGUCAUGUCAGGCAUAACACACAUAAGUAGUGACACAUACAUCAUCAUCAUCUUUGAUUUGAAUGGAGUGUAACAAAACUGCUAAAAAAGUGUGUUUUUGAGUGUUUAUUGAUCCUAUCUUAUUAUCAAUAGACAUAAAUCCUAUAGGUUUAGUAUAUUAUUAACUUCAGAAGCAGUACAGCUUACAAGUUAUAAGGAAACCUACGGCUACGGGUAUGUUUGGGAUAGAGAAAUUUAGAUGAAGAGAGAAAAAAGGAAGAGUAAAUUAUUCAUUUCAUGUAAUUUCAAUUCAAUAAUCUCUACUUCAACAUUUUUUUGUAAUUAAAGGAAUAAAACUAUAUCUUCAUGAAGUCUUCUAAUCAUUUUCUAUUGAUUUUUAUAUCAUACAACUCUAACUCCUAAAAUUAAGACUCCAUUUUUCCUUUCCUUUGAUGGCGAGCCUUGAGGACAACAGAUGGAAUUACUACCAUACCAUGUACUAACAAGGCUGACUUUAAGGAAUUAACCUCUUGCAAGCAUGAUAAAGCUUUCCCUAGACCUUGCCCUGGCAUUAGGUUAGUCUUUAAAGCACUAGGUAAUUGUCCUUCCCUUCCCCUCCAUACAACGCAAACACACACACUAAUAGUUCAUAUCAUAACUAAAUAAGGAAACAAAAAAACCUAAGGUCCACAAAAGUGAUAAAACCAAGGUCACUAAAAAGUCUAAUCCAAUUACUCCCUCUUUUUUCUUCAUUUUUUUACAAUUCACAAUCAAUCAAUUUUCUUUCUCUCUGAACAUGCAUCCUCCACCUUGCCCUUCUUAGACUCUCUCUGCUUUUUCUUAUGUUCAUCCUAGCGACGACGUCUGCAGUCAUUCCUUUACUGAGAGCCUUCGUUUCAUACUGCUUGUGGCAGGUGUCAAAUCGGCACUACCAAAUCUUAGCAACCACACCCACUCCACUUGAACUCCACCGGUUCUUCUGAGCACCGGAACCCCCAGCCAUUGGAUCUCUGCCAUUAGCGAGAGAAAGAGCGAGAAAAGUGAUGAAAAGAACGGUGACAAGAAAUAGAGUUUGAGAAAGGGUAAAGUUGAGCAGGAGAAAAGACAAAAAUGGUGGUUUACCGACUUGAGAGAGAGUGUUGCAGCCUGAAGAAGAGUCUAGGGAUGCGUGAGUAAUGAAGGUGGAGUAAUUAACUACUACCUACUCAUGAGACUCACAAAUCAUCAGGCUGCGACCCUAGCUCAGGUCAAAUCACAUUCUCAGCUAAACCACUUUUUUUUAUGGCUCAACUCUACCCUUUCUUAAACUCACUUUCUAUAUUUGCAUUUCUUGGCCGAUCCUUUCAUCUCGCUCGGAUGUUAAGACAAUGCUAGAGGAACUGAACUUAAUAAAGAUUCAAUGGUGACCAAUCAUUCAUCAACCUGAAUACCAGACAUUGGCACCUCAGAGUUGACUUGUUCAUCAUCUUCAUCCUCAUUGUUGCUCCCUUCAGCAUCCAUUGUGGAUCCCUUUUUGAAGCAACACACUUUGACGUCACACUCAUUUCUUCUUCUCUGCUCGCCUAAGUUUCGGAUUAAGUAUACCAUCGGCUGUAUAUAAUUUCUCAUUUUGUCUACUAGCUGCACUGUUCCCCUUGUUCUUGCUAGCAUCACCAUUAUCAUCUUCCAUAGCUUCAUCACUAUCAUUGUCAGCCAUGUUCUCAGGAUCCUCUUGUUCUGACGGUUUAACUUGCUGAUCAUCCUAGAAAGAAAAAAAUAGCUUGUAAGAAGAUAAGAUGUUUUAAUUGGUAAAUUGUAAAGGGUAAAACUGAGUGAAGAAUAAGAUAAACAAUGUCAUUUCCAAAGCACUUUCUCCCUAUUUAUAAGGUUUUUAAAACAGCAACAUAAAAAACAGACCUCUAGCAUCGCCUCAUCAAGGUUGAGAGGGCCACUUGACGGAACUUCAACAGGAUCGAAGGCAUCAGCAGAUUUAAGACUCCCAAUAAAUGAAGAUUCACUAUUGUAGACAUCAUCAAUGUUAAACUCUUUAGCAAACUCUGAAACUAUCUUGGCCUCUGAAA
rnacentral:lncRNA from 1 species